AUGCCGACGCCGUCUCAUCGCCAUUGCCCUAACCAUCCAAAGGGGGGUCACGGCGACUGUGCUGGAGCAUGCGGCGGGGACGGCAUCCCCGUCAUCGACCUCGGCGUCCUCCUCAACGGCAACGCCGAGCAACGAUCUCAGGCGACACGCGAGCUCGGCCAGGCCUGCGAAGACUGGGGCUUCUUCAUGGUGAUUAACCAUGGGGUGCCUGAGGUGCUCCAAGAAGAAGUGAUGGAGGCGUGUAAGGAACUAUACAGCUUACCGAGGGAUGAGAAGGCAGAAUACAUUGCUGCUGGCCCAAAGGAUCCUAUACGUAUUGGAACAGGUCUCUUCUACUCUGACGUUGACGAUGCCAUAUGUCGGAGGGACUAUAUGAAGAUGAUUGCUCACCCAGAGUUUCACUGCCCUGCAAAGCCUGCAAAGCUGAGAGAUAUUGCUGUGGAGUACUCUGCUCGAACGAGGCAGCUGUUGCUGGAGCUUGCGAAGGCGAUCUCCGAGAGCCUGGGACUUGACCGUGGCCGCAUUUCUGAAGUUCUAAACCUUGAGUCCUGCUUCCAGAUCCUUGUCGGGAACAAUUACCCGCCAUAUGCUGGCUCGGAUGGGGUUAUGGGAAUUUCAGCCCACUCUGACCAUGGCCUUCUCACUCUGCUCUUCCAAAAUGGUGUGGAUGGUCUCCAAGUCAUGCACAACGGCCAGUGGGUCACCGCAAAGCCCCUUCCAGGCUCACUGUUCAUUCUCACUGGCGAUCAGUUGGAGAUUGUGAGCAAUGGAAGGUACAAGGCCGUGCUCCAUCGCGCACUGGUCCACGGUGGGCAGACGAGGAUGUCGUUCGUGAGCCUGGUCGGGCCGUGCCUAGAUGCUGUCGUAGAGCCAGUCCUGGAGUUGGCACAGAAUGACCCCCAGGGCAUGAAGUUCCGGGGAAUCAGGUACAGGGACUACAUGGAGCACCAGCAGAGCAGCAAGAUGAACACAAAAGCAGCACUGGACAUCGUUCGUGUGCAGGGUGACAUAUUGACAUGUGAGAGCACACCUAACAGUUCAACAGAGGCUGAUUCUUCAGGUUCAGAGUCUAGGAUGGUCAGGUCAUUUGGUGCAACGGCCAGCGGCAGUAGGCGUAGGUCAGGCAGAGGGAGCACUGCAGGCUGCCGAGCUGGCUGCCGGCGAGCACGGGCAUGCCGGAUUGCGGUGACUAGGCGAGACCAAAGGCAUUGA
rnacentral:rRNA from 1 species